rnacentral:rRNA from 1 species
UACGAAGGGGGCGAGCGUUGUUCGGAUUUACUGGGCGUAAAGCGUGCGCAGGCGGUUAUGUAAGUCAGGUGUGAAAUGCCCGGGCUUAACCUGGGAACUGCAUUUGUGACUGCAUGGCUAGAGUUUGGCAGAGGGGGGUAGAAUUCCACGUGUAGCAGUGAAAUGCGUAGAUAUGUGGAGGAACACCGAUGGCGAAGGCAGCCCCCUGGGUCAAGACUGACGCUCAUGCACGAAAGCGUGGGGAGCAAACAGG